AGUGGCAGACGAGCGAGUAACGCGUACUUAAUCUACCCCUAAGUUGAGAACAACUAUGGAGACAUAGCUAAUUCUCAAUAGUCUCAUAGGAAUGAAAAUACUAUGAGUAAAGAUUUAUCGCUUAGGGAGGAGGGUGCGUCCUAUCAGGUAGUUGGUAGAGGUAAUGGCCUACCAAGCCGAUGACGGGUAGCCGGUUUGAGAUGAUGAUCGGCCGCGAUGGGACUGAGACACGGCCCAUACUCCUACGGGAGGCAGCAGUGGGGAAUCUUGCACAAUGGACGAAAGUCUGAUGCAGCGAUUCUGCGUGGAGGAUGAAGCAUUAAGGUGUGUAAACUUCUUUUUUGGAGGAAGACGAAUGACGGUACUCCAAGAAUAAGGGACGGCUAACUACGUGCCAGCAGCCGCGGUAAUACGUAGGUCCCAAGCGUUAUCCGGAUUUACUGGGCGUAAAGGGUCCGUAGCCGGAUGUAUAAGUCUAUUUUCAAAUACUUGGGCUCAACCGAAGGAAGGGAAUAGAUACUGUAUAUCUAGAAGUUAUUGGGGGUUAAUGGAAUUUCCGGUGGAGCGGUGAAAUGUGUUGAUAUCGGAAAGAAUGCCGAAAGCGAAAGCAGUUAACUACAGUAAACUUGACGGUCAGGGACGAAAGCUUGGGGAGCGAACAGGAUUAGAUACCCUGGUAGUCCAAGCAGUAAAUGAUGUUUGCUAGAUGUUUUGUUCACGUUGUGAGCGGAGUGUCGUAACCUAACGGGUUAAGCAAACCGCCUGGGUAGUAUAUUCGCAAGAAUGAAACUCAAAGGGAUAGGCGGGGGAACACACAAGCAGUGGAUUGUCUCGAUUAAUUGGAUAAUAAGCCAAGAAUCUUACCUAAACUUGACAUGUACUGUGUCCUAUGUGAAAGCAUAGUAAUCUCGAGCAAUCGGGAUACGGUACACAGGUGGUGCAUGGUCGUCGUCAGCUCGUGCCGCAAGGUGUCUAGUUAAGUCUAGGAACGAGCGCAACCCUCGUACUUAGUUAGAAUGUCUAAGUAGACUGCUCUGGUAACAGGGAGGAAGGAGAGGAUGACGUCAGAUCCUCAUGCCCCUUACGUUUAGGGCUUCAUAGACAAUACAAUGGGUGGUACAACGAGAAGCAAUACCGCGAGGUGGAGCAAAUCUUUAAAACCAUCCUAAGUUCGGAUUGCAGUCUGGAACUCGACUGCAUGAAGUUGGAAUUGCUAGUAAUGGCGGGUCAGCUACACCGCCGUGAAUAUGUCCCUGUUCCUUGCACUCACCGCCCGUCAAACCAUGGGAGUUGGGGGCCUUUGAAGACUCACUAUGUGGGUUAAGGAGGAUACCAAUGACUGGGGUUAAGUCGUAACAAGGUAACC
rnacentral:rRNA from 1 species